rnacentral:rRNA from 1 species
GACGAACGCUGGCGGCGUGCUUAACACAUGCAAGUCGAACGAAGUGGCGAACGGGUGAGUAACGCGUAAUCAACCUGCCCUUCAGAGGGGGACAACAGUUGGAAACGACUGCUAAUACCGCAUACUGAAGGCGGGGAUUGCGUGGGAUUAGCUAGUUGGAGGGGAAACGGCCCACCAAGGCGAUGAUCAGUAGCCGGUCUGAGGUGAUGAACGGCCACAUUGGUACUGAGAAACUGCCCAGACUACUACGGGAGGCAGCAGUGGGGAAUCUGCCGCAAUGGACGAAAGUCUGACGGAGCAACGCCGCGUGAGUGAUGACGGCCUUCGGGUUGUAAAGCUCUGUUAAGCGGGACGCGGUACCGGAAUAGAAAGCCACGGCUAACUACGUGCCAGCAGCCGCGGUAAUAC